rnacentral:rRNA from 1 species
AUUGAACGCUGGCGGCAGGCCUAACACAUGCAAGUCGAACGAGUGGCGGACGGGUGAGUAAUGUCUGGGCAACUGCCUGAUGGAGGGGGAUAACUACUGGAAACGGUAGCUAAUACCGCAUACCCUCAGAUGUGCCCAGAUGGGAUUAGCUUGUUGGUGGGGUAACGGCUCACCAAGGCGACGAUCACUAGCUGGUCUGAAAGGAUGACCAGCCAAACUGGAACUGAGACAGGGUCCAGACUCCUACGGGAGGCAGCAGUGGGGAAUAUUGCCAAAUGGGCGCAAGCCUGAUGCAGCCAGGCCGCGUGUAGUAAGAAGGCGUUCGGGUGGUAAAGUACUUGCAGCGGGGAGGCGUUACCCGCAGAAGAAGCACCGGCUAACUCCGUGCCAGCAGCCGCGGUAAUUC